CCUCGGCGCCGCGUUUAGCUUUUAGCUCUUCUGCCGUGCGAGCCCGGCAAGUUCGCUUCGGCAACUCGUAGGCGACCCGACCCACUUGCCGGCGUGUACCGCGCUCCUCUCGACCAGGUCGAACUCGGAUGACAGUGCUCGCUUCGGCUAGGGCCGAAUACGCUCAGCCCACGCCGUGAACAUUCUUGUUCCGUGUGCAUGCGUUGAGAACUUGAGUUUCCGUCGGCUCCCGUUACGCCGGCACAACAGCUCGCUGAUCGGGCCACUUGGCGUUCCUCGGACGUCUGGCACACCUCCAGCGACAACUCUCGAGGUGCAGGGAUAAUCGGCGCUUCUUCGUCUCUACUUCCGCCGGCAGUCCGCGACUGAACGAGCGAAAGCAACUCUGCCAUCGCACGCCAUGCUGCCAGGUCCGGCGUCUGGCAAGCGGAGCAGGCUGGCGGCGGGCGGCGAGACUAGUGGGGGCGGCGGCCGCGCGCUCUGGCGGCCCCUGUGGCAGCCCGGCUGGCACCCGCGGGGGGCUCCCCCGCCGCUGCUGCUGCCCACCAUGAAGGCCUCCGAGGGGGCCGGAGGGGCAGAGCAGCUCGAGGAGGCCCGCGUCGAGGCAUGGCUCGACGAGCACCCGGCCUUCGUCGGCGAUUACUUCAUGCGCAAAGCCUCGAGAAAGCGGAGACGUUGCUAUCCGCAGGUGGUGGACUCGUGGCUGCUGGCGCACGCCGUGCCCCAGAGCGUGGUGCAGGCGACCUCCCCAUGCCCGGCGGCGGACCAGGCCGGUGGCGCGUCGGGCUCGGCCGGCGGCGGCGGCUCGUCGGCGUCCUCUUCCUCGAUGCUGGCCGCGGCCCACUCGCUGAGCAGCAGCUCGAGCUCGCUGAAUGGCGGCUCCUCCUCCGGCGCGGGCGCCAACAUCUCGCCGCCCAUGCGGAAGAUUUCCGCCUGCGAGUUCGACCGCGGCAGCCCGCUGCGGCCCAUUGUGCAGACCAGCUUCGAUGGCACGCCAACCUUCCUCACAUUGCCUGCCGCUGCGGAGAACCAGAGCGGGGUACCCGGCGCCCCUGGCAGCACUGGCCUGGUGCGUCCCAAACGCCGCAGCCGGCAGGAGCUACAAGCUCUCAACGAGCGCGAACUCAUCUUCGAGCUGGUCAAAGACAUCUGCAACGAACUGGACAUCCGCCUGCUCUGUCACAAAAUCCUCCAGAACGUCACGGUCAUCACCGACGCGGACCGCUGCUCGCUGUUCCUCGUGCACGGCGACCGAGACUCGCCGUCGGGCCGCUGCCUCGUGAGCCAGCUGUUCGACGUGUCGUGCCGUUCGACGCUCGACCAGGUUCGCUACGAGGAGGUGCGCGUCCCUUGGGGCUCCGGCAUCGUCGGCUACGUGGCGCAGAGCAAGGAGGCCGUCAACAUACCGGACUGCUACAACGACUCCCGGUUCAACAAGAGCAUCGACCUGCGCACCGGAUACCGGACGCGGUGCAUGCUGUGCAUGCCCAUCUUCGACCGCGACGGCGAAGUCAUCGGAGUCGCGCAGGUCAUCAACAAGAAGGGCAAGAACGAGCACGACGUCUUCAACAGCAACGACGAGAAGGUGUUCUCGGAGUACCUGCAGUUUUGUGGCCUCGUUCUGCGAAACGCUCAGCUCUAUGAACGGUCUGAGCUUGAAAACAAGAGAAACCAGGUUCUUCUGGAUCUAGCUCGUAUGGUGUUUGAAGAACAGAGCACCAUUGAACAGGUCGUAUACCGCAUCAUGACACACAUGCAGUCACUGCUUGAAUGUGAGCGCUGUCAAGUGCUACUUGUCGACCAUGAGACCAGGACUGCUUUUCACCGGGUCUUUGACUUGGAAGCUAAAGAUGCUCUCAGAGAAGAUGUGGCUACAUGUACCAGCCCUUAUGAAGGCAGGUUUCCCAUUAACACUGGUAUCACAGGGUCAGUGGUCGCAACUGGUCAGAUUCUCAACAUACCUGACGCCUAUAAAGAUGACCGGUUCGAUCCAAAGGUGGAUGAAGGGAGCUCGUUUCGACAUAAGUCCAUCCUCUGCAUUCCAAUUUACAAUGCCAAUCGUCUAGUCCUAGGUGUGGCCCAGCUCAUCAAUAAGCUCAAUGGCGAGCCAUUCAACAAAAACGACGAGCAGCUACUUGAGGCAUUUGCCAUCUUCUGUGGCUUGGGCAUCCAGAACACGCAGAUGUAUGAAAAGGUUGUGAAGGCCAUGGCCAAACAACGAGUUACGCUUGAGGUGCUCUCCUACCAUGCAUCUGCGCCCCUUGAAGAGGCUCUAAAGCUCAGUGAGUGUGUUCUUCCAUCAAUGCAAUCACUGCGGCUGCAAGACUACAAGUUUAAUGACUUCAGUCUCGAUGAUAAUGGCAUGCUGAAGGCCUGCUUGCGUAUCUUCCUUGAACUGGACUUCCUCAACCGAUUCCACAUUGAGUACCUGGUGUUAUGCCGGUGGCUCUUGAGUGUCAAGAAAAACUACCGCAAGGUAUCCUACCAUAACUGGCGGCAUGCUUUCAACGUUGGCCAGAUGAUGUUUUCCAUCCUUACCAACACAAAGCUUCAUGAAGUUCUUGGAGAUCUGGAAACCUUUGGCCUCAUCGUGGCCUGCUUGUGCCAUGACCUGGACCACAGAGGCACCAACAACUCCUUCCAGAUCAAGUCGUCAUCUCCAUUGGCACAGCUGUAUUCUACAUCAACAAUGGAGCACCAUCACUUUGACCAGUGUGUCAUGAUACUCAACAGCCAGGGCAACCAGAUUCUAAGCCAUGUUUCCCCAGAGGAGUACACCACCAUCAUACGGAUCGUGGAAGAGGCCAUUCUUGCCACAGACCUUGCUGUCUACUUCCGCAAGAGAGGCCAGUUCUUCAAGCUUGUGGAGAACGACGAGUACCAGUGGGCCAACUGUGAUCAUCGUGAGCUUCUCAGAAAUAUGCUGAUGACAGCUUGCGAUAUUGGAGCGAUCACCAAACCCUGGGAUGUCCAAAGAGUGGUUGCAGACCUGGUGACAAUGGAGUUCUUUCAGCAAGGAGACAUGGAAAAGAAAGAGCUAAAUCUCCAACCCAUUGACAUGAUGAAUAGGGAGAAAAAAGACCAGCUUCCUGCUAUGCAGCUGGGCUUCAUUGACUCCAUCUGUCUCCCAUUAUACAGGUCUUUCUCUGCACUGAAUGACCGGCUCUAUCCCUUGCUGGAAGGUGUCGAGCUCAACCGUAUGGAGUGGAAACGGCUGGCUGAUGCACAUGCUGCUAGCGUCAAUGGAGAUCGUAGCGAUAGUGAUGAUGCUGAUGCCAGGAAAAAAACAUAAGAAGCCACACUCAACCUGUGCAACUGUGUGGCAUGUUCAGUAAUCUGCCUUGUGUUGCUGCACCGUAUGACCUUAUGAUCAGCAAACCCGGACAGCUUCACAAGCUCAUAUGUCCUACCAAUGAGACCUCGAGGCCCUUCACAUGCAACUUGGCUGCAGCAUUGGUUCAGCUUGACUGGCUCAGGCCAUGCAUUGUUACUGUGCCAAUCCAGAAAUUCUGACAUGCCACACACAACCAGCCUGGGCAAAUCUUGCCAUUCAUACACACUCAAUACAUAUAUAAGACAAGACAUUAAGGCUUGUCAAUAAAUGAUAAGUCCAUGCUUUAGUGCAGUGCCGUCAUGUGACAAAAUGACACUGUUAAACUUCAUAAGAAUGUGAAUCUUCCCCGUUUUCAAGUCCUCAUGUCCUGGUGUUCACCAUUUGCUGUGGGGAUUUGUAGUUGGAAAGAAAAGAAACACUGCAUCAGUGCCCACAGUCACUGGACCUAGUAAUGCAGAGAAAUGAUAUAUGUGCUUGUUGAGACAUCUCAUAUGUUGUGACUAUAGUGUCGCGUUUACAGUGCAAUCACAUAGUGGAGGUGCAUUUAUAACCAUGUACAUGUGAUAAGGAACUUGCAGGUGCAGCUUUUGCUACCAUCUCGUGAGAAAUUCGAGCUCCAUUUUUCCUAGCCAGCAGCAGUAUAUUGUAUUACUUGUUUGACAACUGCUUAUCUAUGCAGUCAUUCAUGUUGAAUCCAUGUCCCAGAGUGGCUUGGUCCGUAAUAGGAAAGCGAGCUCACAGUCUUUGUUUUCAUGGCAUUUUUAAAGGUAGCUCUGCAGUAACCGCCUGUUUUAAUGCACCAUCAUCUUCCACUCACAAGGAGCGGAAAUAAUGAGGCUUGUUGUAGACAUGCUCACAAAUGGACAUAUGUUACAAAUAUAUGUCACUAUGUAGCAAGGCUAGCAGCAAGACACUGCUGCAUACAUCUAUGACCAAUGUUGUAAACAUUCAAGGCGUGACACUCAGUCUGCUCAUUAGUGUCAGAUCAUUGUAUCCUAUCUGUAGUAAACGUCAUAUUUGUUAAACAGUUGCAGUCUGUGCCGGGCUACACGUUUAAUGUGUGGUAGGGACUGUCUUUCAGUGCACCUCAACUGGGAAGGCUGGGCAAUGUAAAGAACAGCUGCAUACAUGCUUUUACUCAGAAGUCUAGUCUCUGCUUUUUGUGAGCAGUAGCAUCUUUGUAUUAGCUGUAUUUCGGCUCAGCUUGUUGGGAGCUCGGUUUAGCAGAAGCAAGAAAUAUGCGUGUUGACAGCUCAAGAGGUGUUUAUUAACGAGUCAAAACAGGUCCACCGAAUGCAGGAUGUAGUUGCCUGAGUGAGAGGUCACUUCGUCACUACAAAGGAAGAGUGAGGGGAGUUGAGCUGGUCAAGCCAGGAAUGUAGGCUCUCGUAAGUGGUGCGAGCAUGGUAGUUUCUGGGCAAAGCCGACGAAUGGUUGCUACAAGCUAAAGUUGGCAGAAGAGUCGGACAUAAUACAUGUAAGGAAAAAGAAUAUAACACAUGAACUGCAAUAUGGUCUGCAGGAAGCCAUGAUGUUAUUAGUUAUUUUGUCAAAAUGUUCUGAUGGAGUUUUCUAAUUCUGCCUCAAAAGAUGCACCAUAAUAUGUACUCAAGUGAUGUGCUCCACUUUCGAACUAGCACAUCCUCUCAAAAACCACUGAGGCAAGCUGCCUGGUAACAAGUGGCAGCCAGGCCGUGUUUAAGUCUGGUUUAAGAAAUCUAGCUUUGAGGUAACAGACCAACUGCUGUGAAAAUUGUGUAUAUUGAUGGUGAAAGAUUAGUUAUUUUUUCAGGAUCACUUAUAUAAGUGAGCACAGAGCUCACUGCAGAUUGUUAUCAUUUUAUAUAAACAUUAGACAGCUUGGGUGGUGGAACUGAAAGGCAUGCAAUCUCUGUAGAGUGGUCCACGUGAAGCUUGCUCUAAGGCUGUUGCUUUAGGAGCUGUGCACUUGAGUUGCAGUUGUGAAGGCGGCUUGCAGCUGUGAUGGUUUUCAUUCUUUGCAUACUUUACAGAGUUUUUCCAGUGUUCAUGUGCUGCUUGUAUUAGUUGUGUGGGCUGUGAUAAGAAAGAAUAUUUUGAGGCAACUGAGCCUAUUGGAACUGAUUUUGAUAGAAUCAACCGUUACAUUGCACAUUGCAUGUUGCAAAACAUCACAAAAAUGUGAACCAUCUUUAUUAUCGCUCACUUUUCCUGGUUCUGCCAGAGAAGGUGCAAAAAGACUGAUGGGUGUACAUUUUUCUCAGAUUCAACAUAGAAAUGUAAGUUGACCUGGUGUAGCAUUUUGUAGUGCUCCAUUUCAUUUUAUAUUCUUCAAUUCUUAUUUGCAACACAAAGUGUUCGAUACCAGUUUUAACAGUGGUGUGGCAGCAUCCAAGCCAAUAACAUACGUCAAUAGAAUCCAAAGUAGAAUUGAUCACCUCAAAAUCAAGUCCCUAGUUCACUCUGAUUUGUCAGCACAGUACAUCUACUUCCUCAAUUUUUUUGUGUGUUUGAACAUCCUAAAACAUUCUGUGAAGCAUGCAAAGUCUGCAGCUGCCAUGAAGUCCUUUGCAAUGCCAGACCUUCUAAGCAAUUCCUCACUUCCUCAGACCCUUACUUUUCUGAAUAGAUGUAACAUUGCAAACAGAGGCUCAAAUGUGUCAAUUAUUUUUUUCUUUUUGUCAUUUUAUCCCUGAAAUUUAUCAUUUACAUCCAACCUUAGGUGUACAUGUCAAGUGCUGCAUUGCGCAAAAAAAUGUUAUAUCCUUCAUUGUGUCCUACAUGUUACACAGGUGUGUUUUACGCAGUUUUUAGCUUGGUACAUGAGUCAGUACAUAAGUAGCACAAGCUUUAUUUGUAAUGUGCAGCCUUUGUACCCUGUGUUUUUAAAUAUGAAUGCAAGGUCCGUACACAACACUUGCAGACGGUAAUCCUUGAACUCUUGGUGCCGGCCCAAGAAACAACUGACUCGCCCGAGCCGAUGACUUCAAUACUGUGUUUCUAUCCGUUAGUAUGCCUGUCACUUGUUACCUGUGAACUGACUUUAUGAUGGCACCUAUAUUAUACAGGUAUAUGUAUACUGUUUAGAUGUCAUGAUGUCUUCUCUUUGUAUUUCUAGUACGAUACAUUCUUAUUUAUUUCCUUUGCAGCGAGCUGCUUUUCUUGCUCUUUCAAUGUUCAAAGACAUGCUGCUUUGUACAUGUGACUUUGUAUGUAUGCUGUGCACUGUAAAGUUACUGUGUUUGUGCCUCAUCUGUACAUAGUCUUGUCAUGUCUCACUGAUUGAUUGGCACUUCUCUACCUCAUGUAUGGAGCAUUUUUACGCCCCGAGAGCCCUCUUGAAUCGCAAGUUUCAAGAAAUUUGUGACUGGCUUAUCCAAGUGUGGCAGUGAUUGUAGCUAAAUUAAUAUAAAGCAAAGAACAAGCAUGCAGUGCUGAUAAUCUUUGAGCAUUCUAGUGCAGCUUAUUUAUAUUGAAACAUUAAAUUAAAUCAUGUACUUUUUUUGGGGGGGUGAAUUUCGCACGUGGAAAGAGAAUGAAUGACUACAAGCUCCUCAUAGGAUCUCACUGAGUUAUAUUAUAGUAUCAGAGUUUUUAAAGUUGAGUAAUUAUUUUAUUUAUAUUAGCUGACAAUUGUAUAAUGUCAGGUUUGACAUGGCAUAAUUGUGGCAGUUAAUAGUACUGGCAUGCUUGUAAACUAGUUGGAAUUUCUUUCACAAAAGCAUAAUUUAGUAACUUCAAAGCAACCAACUUGAGUAAAGAAAGUGUUCAACUUAGUGUUACUGAUCUUUCAAGGUACAUUUUAAUAUGCCAUUAAUCUACCAAAUGUAUAUUACUCCACACUGAAUCUGAAUAUUGCACCUAUUUUAACAUACUCUAUGGCGUAUCACUGAGUUAAUCACUCAUUACAAGUUUGCCACAUGCAUCUGCUUUCACUUUUUUUCAGCUGUAUUGAAUUUUUUUUGUCUUGGUGUAUGGAGAUCAUUUGCCAUAGGAACCUUAGUGUACCACCACUGCAAAAAUGGACUGCAUUGGGGCUGUUUCCUGUGUUCCUAAUGUAAUGUUUGAUUGUCAUUAACUGCCCACGAGCACCUUCGGGGAGUUGCUUCUACUGCAUUUGAAAGCAGAGGAUUGGAAAAGAUGCUUGACUUCGAGAAUAAAACCAAGAACAAGUGAACGGGAGAGAAAUGUCAGCACACAGUAACAGAGUUGGGGAGGAAAAAAUGAAAGGUUUGAUUUUCAAGUGCAUUUUAGUGACAGCAGGGUCAGAUGCCAAGAAGCAUAUUGUCUACGGUGAUUGGUACAAGGCUACUAAGUUUUGAAAAAAAUGCAAAAGAACUAAUUGCAGGCAAGAUAAUUCUUCAAUCAACCACUACAUUCAUGUAUUUUAUUUACUAGAUGCAAGCAGUGAAAAGAGUACAGAGAGAGGUACCAUUGUAAUUGUAGUUUUGUUGAACUAUAACGGAGGCUCACAAGAGUUGUACUUGUGGCGACCAGUAGCAAACACAAUGGGCUCAUCACAAAGGUAAAAAAUAAAGUAUUGAAAAUAGUAAACUGUUUAUUUCUUGAUAAGAAAUCUGAUAUAUUAAGGUUGUUCAAAAGAUCAGUAAUUUCGUUAUGAUAUACCAUCAAAACAUGAACUUAAGACUGUCUGUUUGCCUCAUGCGCUGUUCAUAGGCAUAAUUUUUCCUUUUUCUUUUAUGUGUGUGUGUGUGCAUGGGUUUAUAAGAGUUUGUAAAUUAAGAAUGGAAUGUGUACAUACCAAUGUACUUGCAUGUGUGCAGGCACAUCUUUCUUGCAUGUAAGCAAGGGUGAAUGCUUACCUGUUGUUAUUGCCACAAAUAUUUUUACAUUGUAGGUUUCUCUUAAGUUCUAAGCUGCACACCUUAUUCAUUAUUAAACUUUUGUUGUUAAACUCUUGUGAAGCAGGCCUCUGUAGUCUGUAUCAUGAAAAUUAUGCCUGAAUGACUUCCAUGUUCACAAAGUAUGUUGCAUGUCUCCCUGGUGUACAUUCUAGUGCAAUUCCUAACAAAGCUGUGACAUUGCUGCAUUGUCAAACAGGAAGACAGUGGUCAGUAUGCUUAGUUAAACAGUAACUUAGAGUUGAAACAAACAAGGAUCAAGCUUAAUCAGUGCGUGUGGCAACUACUGAAAAUUUUGGUGUUCUUUAUUCGGAAGAUUUUAUUUCAUGCAAAUUUCACCUCUAAUCUAUUAUUGAAUUUACUGGUGCACAUAUGUUUGACCCUAACCUAACUGCCAUUUAGAAGGAUGCGAGACACCUACAUACUUGUUGCCGAUAAUUGGGAACCUAUACACACCAUGUUCUUUUUUGUAUAGCACUUGCAUUUUGUAGCUUCCAUGCUCUAUUUGCCUUUUCCACCAUGGUCCAAACACUUGGCCGUCUUCCCGUAAAAAAGUAAGCCCUUCAACGAAAACUGUCGACCUUUACAUGUCUGUUACAAUGCACAGGCGAUGCCACAGCAAUGUUAUUGUGACAAUCUAUACCGCUGAGAAAUCUUUUCUUUUUUUUAAUUCAGCUCAUUUUUAAAUUGCAGAUGUAGGGCACUUAUACCUGGCUUCCCAACAAAAUGUGGCUCCAGAUGCUAAAUAUUUUUUCACAUCAUUAUUUUAACUGUCUUCUUAUCAAUCACCUUUCUUUUUUUUUUUUGCUCAGCCUUAUUGAUGCACUUUUAUCUUGUGUCACAUGUACAUAUUAUAAAUACUUGAUGCCCACCUUUGGACAGGCUCAUCCUGCCUUCACUGCACUAAAAAAGGGAGCACUUUUUUUGCCCUAGGUAUUUGCACUUAAUGGUUUUAAUUUUCAUGUUUACACGUCCUGUAGAUGUCCUGUGCACCAGCUCGGCAUUGUGUACAGCAAAUGGUAUGCUGCACAAAAUGUUUUCAAAACUGAUAGUUAUAUUUGCUGCCAUCUGCAAAAAAUACAAGUUCCGAGAGCAUGAAAGUAGUUCUUAAAUGUGUAAUGUGUUAAGCUUACCUGUGCAAGACCCACAUUGUACAGCAGUUGCCCACAGCAAUAGUAGCAUUCUGGUGUGAGCACAUCACCACCUGUAUUUGCACAUUGCCACAACACAGAGUGUGAAAGACUUAACAUUCAUGUGACACUUGCCCCUCAUCCCCCUAGUGAUCCUGUUGUAUGUGUUAUAAAUUAUCCAUGUUCAGCAACAUUUCUACUGUUACCAAACGUGUAUUUAUUGCUGUUUAAUCUAUAAAUAUA